GUUCAACCAGGUCUGCGGGCAGCGACAGGUCAACCAGAGGUUCACCCAGGUCUGCGGGCCGCGACAGGUCAACCAGUGGUUCGUCCAGGUCUAGGUCCGUGGGCCGGGACAGUUCAAGUGGUCGUGUACCCAGGUCCCAAGCCGUGGAGAGCAGGUCCUUAGAUGGUCUUUCGCAUGCAAGGCCCAUUUACAAUAGGGCUGUGCCAACCACAUUCCCCCUGUCAGAAGCGAGUAAGUACAAAAAUAUUUUCAUGUGAAACCCAGACUAAUAUGUAUUAUAACAUUGCAUUCUCUUUGUAACUGUUUGGUAAAUCAGACUUCAGGUUUUCAUCUUGUUGCUUUGCCAUUUAUGACAUUUG